GACUUCAAAUGAUCUUCCCCACUUGGCCUUCCAAAGUGCUGGGAUUACAGGUGUGAGCCACUGCGCCUGGCUGAAGCUUUUCAGUAAUGCUUGUGUCCCCUCACUAUCACCUUCCUUAUUGUUUUGGUAAGUGAACUAUACUCUGGGCCCCUCCAAUGAACAUAGUCAACUGGUCGGUCUUCUUGUCUCAUGUAAUAAAUCCAUCCUAACAUGUUCAGUUCUCUAAGCCUUUUGAUCUAUUCCUCUAUAGUCUACCACUAAGUUCUAGUAUUACUACUUCAUUUAGUGUGGACCACUGCUUUUUUCUGCCUUCCUAAAACCAUUUCAAAACUGACCUCUGGGGCCCUUGCCAGUGUGCUGAAUCCUGUGUCACAGGAGAGUACCUCCAUAUUAACACACUUUUCUCUAUUCAGUUUUGUAAUCUGUCCUGUAGAUCCAGCAUCCUCAGAUAUACUCUUCCAGGUUUGCUGGUAAAUGUCAGCUAAGUUCUGUAGCUCCUUUUGUGUAUGUAAUGAUUCUCUUUUUGUGUAUAAUUCCUCUCCUCCCUCAGCAGGUCAAGCACUUCUCCAGUUAUCCCAUGUUGAAAUUUGACCAUAGUUAUUGUUCUAAUUGGUGGGAAGGGAAGGGGGCAGAUCCUGAGAAGGGCAGGCAUUGUCCCAGACAGUGCCUCAUUUGAGUUCCUUUCAUGAUCUUCAAUCCAGAGGUGGGGGGACUGCUGUCCUCUAAAAUGAGGAUUGCAGCACUUCUGCAUGUCCAGAAGUUUCUGGAGGAUCUUGGAGUUCAAGGUUCCCAAAUGCAUCUACUCAGUAAUCUCUCAUCCGAGUCUUAGGGUCCCACUCUUUACUGGGACCCUGAUUUUGGUGUAGGAGACUCACCGAAACUGAGAAUUCAACCUUCUCUGAAUUUUGGCUGCUCUUAUGAUUUGCUUCUGAUCCUUGUGAUAUGGAUUGUAUUUGUGUCCCCAACCAAAUCUCAUGUUCAAUUGUUAUCCCCAAGGUUGGAGAUGGGGCCUUAUGGCAGGGGACUAGAUUAUGGAGUUGAAUUUCUCAUAAAUGGUUUAGUACCAUCCCCUUGGUACUGUUCUCACAAUUGUGAGUGAGUUCUCUCAAGAUCUGGUUGUUUAAAAGUAUGGGGCAUCUCACAUGUACACACAAACAUAUACCAUACAUAGCAACAUGUGCAGUCCAAGAGAGAAAUAUAAACAACAGUAGAGAUGCAAUGUUAAGUCAUAACUGCAUAAAAUUAACUGUAGUAUAUACUGUACUACUGUAACAAUUUUGUAGCCACCUCCUGUUGCUAUUGUUGUGAGCCCAAGUGUUGUGGGCAUCUGCUUAGAACUACGUGGGACACUAAUCAUCUCUGCAUGAGUAGUUUGUCUCUCCAGUAAAUUGCAUAUCACAAUAAAAAGUGAUCUCUUGCAAUUUUCAUGUGUUUUUCAUUGUGUUCAGUGCAAUACCAUAAACCUUGAAUAUCACCAUGGGACCUAUGGUGGGACAAACCUUGAAUAAUGCCACAGGAUGAAGAGCCACUAGUGAUGUACUCCUAAGAAGCAGAUAAAAAUCAUGACAUUACAAGAAAAAAGCACGUUAUGUCACAGCAAGAAGGCCCUCACUAGAUGCUGGCUCCUUGAUGUUGUACUUCCCAGCCUCCAGAAUCAUAAGUUUACAGCCCCAUGUGUGGAGAUGUGUACUGGCUACUGCAUGGAAUUUUGCAACGAGCAGACUUUGAUCCUUUGAUGGAGCAAGGAUGUUGGUGCCCAGAAGAUUACCACAUCAGGGGUAUGGUGGCCAAGAGAAGUUGACUAUCUACCAUCCCCCACAAAUAUGGAUAAUCUGAGGAUAGAGGUUCCUUGAAACCUUUCUUGUAAAGAGGAACUGGAAGAUAUUGCAGGUGUUCACUCAUACGACAGGUGAGUACCUCAUUAAUUUCCAUCAGUGACUUGUUCAGGCAUUCUAAAAAUUUAUUGGCAUGGAUCCAAGGUCAUAUAAAAAUUGCCCUCUGGCUCUAACCACCUUUAUUUUAGCUCUCUCACUGACUAUCCAAACCCAAAUUAGGGAAAAGGUAGUAGGAUGGCAAAGGCAAACUAUUAUUCAAAUCUUAGCAGCAGCUACUCAGUUUUGGGAUAAUCUAAGAACAAAAAAAGAAAAGAAGUGAUUAAAGUUUGCUUUGUUCUCUGCUUAGUUAGAACUCUUUACUGAAGGGAAUAACCCCACAAUGACCAAUCCAGAAAGGGAAGAAAGAAAGAUGGGAGGCUAUAUGUUGUUAUUGCAAGAAGCCAGGGUGUUGGAAGAGGGAUUGCAGAAGGACACUCUGGAUGAUGCAGAAACUGCAAAGAUAAGAGAAUUAGGAGAGCCUAGAACAAAACUUUCAGGGAGGAAAUACUUGGCAGAUGGUUCAAAAUUGACAAAUUGAGGGAAUCCCAAAGGUGAGAACUAGUGGACUGUAAUGUGUCAAUAACUUUUCCCAUCUGGUGACAGGUUAAUACAGGUUAUGAAUGUUUUGGGUCAGCCUUCUACUUGUCCCCUUUCCUCUGUCAUUCCCAUAGAGAUAGGUCCUUUGACUAAGGAACAUGUGUUCUUCAUUUCUCCUGAAUCUCCUAUAAACCUACUGGUGAGAGACCUGCUGUGCAACUUAAUAGCUACUGGAUUCUGUACUGUGGAUGAAGUGUCUGUGGAGCCUUUUGAGAGAAGGCACCUGAUUUGGAUACUAUAUACUUCUGAAAGAAAAGAGGUAUGGCAAAGAGUGGCAGUCUCAUACUGUGCUGGAAAAGUCCCCACAAGCUGAAACAAGUCACUUAAAUGUGAAGUAAAAAACUAUAAAUCUUCUAGAAUAAAACACAGGAGAAAAUCUUCAUGACCUUGAGUUAGGCAAAGAUUCUUAGAUACAACACCAAAAGCAUGACC